rnacentral:rRNA from 1 species
GCCGAGGCAACGUAUAGGUAUGUUCACAGGGGUUUGGGAGUUGUAAACUCGUAAUGAUCCCGUUGGUGAACCAGCGGAGGGAUCAUUACCGAGUUUACAACUCCCAAACCCCUGUGAACAUACAUAUACGUUGCCUCGGCGGAUCAGCCCGCGCCCCGUAAAACGGGACGGCCCGCCCGAGGACCCCUAAACUCUGUUUUUAGUGGAACUUCUGAGUAAAACAAACAAAUAAAUCAAAACUUUCAACAACGGAUCUCUUGGUUCUGGCAUCGAUGAAGAACGCAGCAAAAUGCGAUAAGUAAUGUGAAUUGCAGAAUUCAGUGAAUCAUCGAAUCUUUGAACGCACAUUGCGCCCGCCAGUAUUUUGGCGGGCAUGCCUGUUCGAGCGUCAUUUCAACCCUCAAGCUCAGCUUGGUGUUGGGACUCGCGGUAACCCGCGUUCCCCAAAUCGUUUUGCGGUCACGUCGAGCUUCCAUAGCGUAGUAAUCAUACACCUCGUUACUGGUAAUCGUCGCGGCCACGCCGUUAAACCCCAACUUCUGAAUGUUGACCUCGGAUCAGGUAGGAAUACCCGCUGAACUUAAGCAUAUCAAUAAGCGGAAAGAUCAGGUAGGGAUACCCGCUGAACUUAAGCAUAUCAAUAAGCGGAACC